GUUAACGUAGCUUAAUUAAAGCACAACACUGAAGUUGUUAAGACAGACCUUAAAAUGGUCUCGUAAACA
rnacentral:tRNA from 1 species